GAUGAACGCUGGCGGCGUGCCUAAUACAUGCAAGUCGAGCGAACGGACGAGAAGCUUGCUUCUCUGAUGUUAGCGGCGGACGGGUGAGUAACACGUGGAUAACCUACCUAUACGACUGGGAUAACUUCGGGAAACCGGAGCCAAUACCGGAUAAUAUUUUGAACCGCAUGGUUCAAAAGUGAAAGACGGUCUUGCUGUCACUUAUAGAUGGAUCCGCGCUGCAUUAGCUAGUUGGUAAGGUAACGGCUUACCAAGGCAACGAUGCAUAGCCGACCUGAGAGAGUGAUCGGACACACUGGAACUGAGACACGGUCCAGACUCCUACGGGAGGCAGCAGUAGGGAAUCUUCCGCAAUGGGCGAAAGCCUGACGGAGCAACGCCGCGUGGGUGAUGAAGGUCUUCGGAUCGUAAAACUCUGUUAUUAGGGAAGAACAUAUGUGUAAGUAACUGUGCACAUCGUGACGGUACCUAAUCAGAAAGCCACGGCUAACUACGUG
rnacentral:rRNA from 1 species